CUGCCCUGCAGAUCGGGAUAACUCCGGGAAACCGGUGCUAAUACCGAAUAGUUUUUUGCCCCUCCUGGGGCGAAACGGAAAGACGGUUUCGGCUGUCACUGCAGGAUGGGCCCGCGGCGCAUUAGCUAGUUGGUGGGGUAAUGGCCCACCAAGGCGACGAUGCGUAGCCGACCUGAGAGGGUGAUCGGCCACACUGGGACUGAGACACGGCCCAGACUCCUACGGGAGGCAGCAGUAGGGAAUCUUCCGCAAUGGACGCAAGUCUGACGGAGCAACGCCGCGUGAGUGACGAAGGUUUUCGGAUCGUAAAACUCUGUUGUGAGGGAAGAACAAGUACCAAGUAACUACUGGUACCUUGACGGUACCUCACCAGAAAGCCACGGCUAACUACGUGCCAGCAGCCGCGGUAAUACGUAGGUGGCAAGCGUUGUCCGGAAUUANUUGGGCGUAAAGCGCGCGCAGGCGGUUCCCUUAAGUCUGAUGUGAAAGCCNACGGCUCAACCGUGGAGGGUCAUUGGGAAACUGGGGGGACUUG
rnacentral:rRNA from 1 species